rnacentral:rRNA from 1 species
GGCAGGCCUAACACAUGCAAGUCGAACGGUAACAGGAAGCAUCUUGCUGCUUUGCUGACGAGUGGCGGACGGGUGAGUAAUGUCUGGGAAACUGCCUGAUGGAGGGGGAUAACUACUGGAAACGGUAGCUAAUACCGCAUAACGUCGCAAGACCAAAGAGGGGGACCUUCGGGCCUCUUGCCAUCGGAUGUGCCCAGAUGGGAUUAGCUAGUAGGUGGGGUAAAGGCUCACCUAGGCGACGAUCCCUAGCUGGUCUGAGAGGAUGACCAGCCACACUGGAACUGAGACACGGUCCAGACUCCUACGGGAGGCAGCAGUGGGGAAUAUUGCACAAUGGGCGCAAGCCUGAUGCAGCCAUGCCGCGUGUAUGAAGAAGGCCUUCGGGUUGUAAAGUACUUUCAGCGGGGAGGAAGGGAGUAAAGUUAAUACCUUUGCUCAUUGACGUUACCCGCAGAAGAAGCACCGGCUAACUCCGUGCCAGCAGCCGCGGUAAUACGGAGGGUGCGAGCGUUAAUCGGAAUUACUGGGCGUAAAGCGCCCGCAGGCGGUUUGUUAAGUCAGAUGUGAAAUCCCCGGGGCUCCACCCUGGGAACUGCAUCUGAUACUGGCAAGCUUGAGUCUCGUAGAGGGGGGUAGAAUUUCAGGUGUAGCGGUGAAAUGCGUAGAGAUCUGGAGGAAUACCGGUGGCGAAGGCGGCCCCCUGGACGAAGACUGACGCUCAGGUGCGAAAGCGUGGGGAGCAAACAGGAUUAGAUACCCUGGUAGUCCACGCCGUAAACGAUGUCGACUUGGAGGUUGUGCCCUUGAGGCGUGGCUUCCGGAGCUAACGCGUUAAGUCGACCGCCUGGGGAGUACGGCCGCAAGGUUAAAACUCAAAUGAAUUGACGGGGGCCCGCACAAGCGGUGGAGCAUGUGGUUUAAUUCGAUGCAACGCGAAGAACCUUACCUGGUCUUGACAUCCACGGAAGUUUUCAGAGAUGAGAAUGUGCCUUCGGGAACCGUGAGACAGGUGCUGCAUGGCUGUCGUCAGCUCGUGUUGUGAAAUGUUGGGUUAAGUCCCGCAACGAGCGCAACCCCUAUCCUUUGUUGCCAGCGGUCCGGCCGGGAACUCAAAGGAGACUGCCAGUGAUAAACUGGAGGAAGGUGGGGAUGACGUCAAGUCAUCAUGGCCCUUACGACCAGGGCUACACACGUGCUACAAUGGCGCAUACAAAGAGAAGCGACCUCGCGAGAGCAAGCGGACCUCAUAAAGUGCGUCGUAGUCCGGAUUGGAGUCUGCAACUCGACUCCAUGAAGUCGGAAUCGCUAGUAAUCGUGGAUCAGAAUGCCACGGUGAAUACGUUCCCGGGCCUUGUACACACCGCCCGUCACACCAUGGGAGUGGGUUGCAAAAGAAGUAGGUAGCUUAACCUUCGGGAGGGCGCUUACCACUUUGUGAUUCAUGACUG